rnacentral:rRNA from 1 species
AGGACGAACGCUGGCGGCGUGCCUAACACAUGCAAGUCGAACGGUAAGGCCCCUUCGGGGGUACACGAGUGGCGAACGGGUGAGUAACACGUGAGCAACCUGCCUCUGACUUUGGAAUAACAGUUGGAAACAGCUGCUAAUACCGGAUAUGACUUACCUCCGCAUCGGGGUGGGUGGAAAGCUCCGGCGGUCAGGGAUGGGCUCGCGGCCUAUCAGCUAGUUGGUGAGGUAAUGGCUCACCAAGGCUUCGACGGGUAGCCGGCCUGAGAGGGCGACCGGCCACACUGGGACUGAGAUACGGCCCAGACUCCGUACGGGAGGCAGCAGUGGGAAUAUGCACAAGUGGGCGAAAGCCUGAUGCAGCAACGCGCGUGCGGAUGACGGCCUUCGGGUAGUAACCGCUUCACCAUGACGAGCGCAGUGACGGUAGUAGGAGAAGACGACGACCGGACCAACGUCG